UUCCCAAAACAAGUGUGCUCCCUUCAGAAAUACAGUCCUUGGAGUAGGAGGCUAACAGAGCUAAGGUGAAGGAUCUAAAACCUGAAAAGAGGCCAAAUGAUUCCUCAAAACCACGCAAGUACGAAGUAGCAGAGCGGAUCUCAAAUCCAGAGCACUGCGUGUUUUGAAAUAUACAAAUAGUGGGAAACGAAAUCUUUGUUCUGGAUGCAGUUAUAAUUUGGAAAGCGAGGAAAUAAAUUAUAACAAGGGGAAAAAACAGACACAGAGGGAUUGAAAUGCAUAACAAUAGAGAUGAAACACGAAGAGUGAUAAAUGAAGAUUGAGUGUGCACACCUUCUGGAGGAGCCCUGAUUGAGUAUUUUAAAAUACUACUAAAGUCAUGCCGUGUGACUUCUGAAGCUAGCUCCUAAGAAGUCCUUGCAGCUUCUGCCUGCGACUCUUAGAACACUUGCUUUGAAGGAUGCCAGAUGCUGUCUUAAAAGUCUGAGCACUCUGAAACCAUCAUGCUGUGAGGAAGCCCAAGCUAACCACAUGGGCAAAAAAGAUGCCCUCUGACUGCCACCAUUUGAGACACUCUAAUUAAGAACUGCCUCAUUGAGCCCAUGAGGCCCUGUGAAUGAUAAUAAUAAAUUGUUUUUAACCACUAUGUUUUUGGAUUUGUUAUAAGUUUAUAGAUAACAAGAAAAAGUUAUAUUAGCAUGGUAAUAAAAUUAUGGAUAUGUGUAAGUUUGGUGUUUUGUUUCUUUUUUUUUUUUACACUAAGCCUAUAUUACUGUUGUAAUUUAGGAAAUCACUUGUUUUCCUCCAGCACUUCAAUGUAAGAGUGGCACUACUUAGAAUGUACUUCUUAAGAUAUGGCUGUACAUAGAACAAAUUAUUCACCAUGAUUUCCUUAGCAUCCAACAGAAUACCUGAGUGUAGUAGAUGCUUAGUAAAUAGUUGUUGAAUAAUUGACAUAUGGGAGAGUGCUGGAUAAACUCUUUGAGAAUGACAUUAUCUACUUCGAUUUAUGUGAGUCUGGCAUCAUAUUUUUUUUGCUGUCUUUAAAGAAACCAAGAAGAAAG
rnacentral:lncRNA from 1 species